rnacentral:rRNA from 1 species
CCUACGGGUGGCAGCAGUCGAGAAUCAUUCACAAUGGGGGAAACCCUGAUGGUGCGACGCCGCGUGGGGGAAUGAAGGUCUUCGGAUUGUAAACCCCUGUCAUGUGGGAGCAAAUUAAAAUGAUAGUACCACAAGAGGAAGAGCCGGCUAACUCUGUGCCAGCAGCCGCGGUAAUACAGAGGUCUCAAGCGUUGUUCGGAAUCACUGGGCGUAAGGGGUGCGUAGGCUGUUUCGUAAGUCGUGUGUGAAAGGCGCGGGCUCAACCCGCGGACGGCACAUGAUACUGGGAGACUAGAGUAAGGGAGAGGGAGCCGGAAUUCUCGGUGUAGCAGUGAAAUGCGUAGAUAUCGAGAGGAACACUCGUGGCGAAGGCGGGUUGCUGGACAGUAACUGACGCUGAGGCACGAAGGCCAGGGGAGCGAAAGGGAUUAGAUACCCGAGUAGUC